rnacentral:rRNA from 1 species
GUCCACGCAGUAAACGAUGAUUACUAGCUGUUUGCGAUACACAGUAAGCGGCACAGCGAAAGCGUUAAGUAAUCCACCUGGGGAGUACGCCGGCAACGGUGAAACUCAAAGGAAUUGACGGGGGCCCGCACAAGCGGAGGAACAUGUGGUUUAAUUCGAUGAUACGCGAGGAACCUUACCCGGGUUUGAACGUAGGGAGACAGGGGUGGAAACAUCCUUUUCAGCAAUGACUGCCUACGAGGUGCUGCAUGGUUGUCGU